CCGCUUUUAGCUCAGUGGUCGAGCGUUGGCUUUGGAGGCCACAGGUCGGGGGUUCGAACCCACCAGGGCACA
rfam:Phytophthora infestans T30-4 supercont1.4 genomic scaffold, whole genome shotgun sequence.